CCACUGUCAGCCCGGCUCGCUACGCCCGUCGCCUCUGCCAGUGGGUGGAGGCGCACACGGAGUGACGGGCGCCCGGCCCCACUCUCCGGUCUGGAUGAUGGGCUCACGCCAGGAACGCCGGUUCCCCCGGGCCCGGGCAUCUCGCCUGCGCUUCCUCCUGAUGGUCGCCAGAGGGCAGCAUCCCCUAACUAAUGCCGUAACCGCGCAGUCUCGUUUGACGGUGGUGCCGUGCCCAGCAUCGUGCCAAGGACUCCCCUACUUUAGCUCAUUUAAUCCUCAAAAAAUGCUAUUAUUCUCUUUUUACAGACCAUGAAAUGGAGGCUCAGGGGGUGAAGGGACUGAUCAAGAUCAUUCAGCAAUAAAUGCUGGAACCAGGACUCAACCAUGGCUUUUGGAUUCCGGAGCCUGUAUUCUUAACCACCAGCUCCUGCAGCUUGGUCCUCAUGAUCUAGGCAAGGGGGGAGGCUGAAGGCUGCAGCCCUCUUGUCGUCCAGAUGGGGAAACUGAGGCCCAGAGACUUUAAGGGGCUUAUGCACGGGAAACUCCAGCCUGGCCUCUGACCCCAGUUCAAUCCGACCAUGCCCAAGCCCAAGCGGGCCUUUCCUCCAGAACUUGCCUGGCUGUGUGACUGGGGCAAGGUGCUAAACCUCUCUGUGCCUUGCUGGUCUAAUCUGUAAAAUGAAAGAAUGGAAACAGACCUCAUUAACUCAUUAAAUAUUUGUUGAGCACCUGC
rnacentral:sRNA from 1 species